rnacentral:rRNA from 1 species
AUUGAACGCUGGCGGCAUGCCUUACACAUGCAAGUCGAGCGGCAGCACGGGAGCAAUCCUGGUGGCGAGUGGCGAACGGGUGAGUAAAGUAUCGGAACGUGCCCAGUCGUAGGGGAUAACGUAGCGAAAGUUACGCUAAUACCGCAUACGAUCUAUGGAUGAAAGCGGGGGAUCGCAAGACCUCGCGCGAUUGGAGCGGCCGAUAUCAGAUUAGGUAGUUGGUGGGGUAAAGGCUCACCAAGCCGACGAUCUGUAGCUGGUCUGAGAGGACGACCAGCGACGCGGGGACGGAGAAACGGCCCAGACUCCUACGGGAGGCAGCAGUGGGGAAUUUUGGACAAUGGGCGAAAGCCUGAUCCAGCCAUGCCGCGUGCAGGAUGAAGGCCUUCGGGUUGUAAACUGCUUUUGUACGGAACGAAAAGGUUUGGCCUAAUAAGCUGAGCUCAUGACGGUACCGUAAGAAUAAGCACCGGCUAACUACGUGCCAGCAGCCGCCGUAA